rfam:Danio rerio chromosome 2 genomic contig CTG124, GRCz11 reference primary assembly.
UUCUACAGCCAUAUCACCCUGCAGCCCAAGACCGGUUACUCACUGAAGCUAAGCAGGGCUGAGCCUGGUCAGUACAUGGAUGGGAGACCACUAGGGAACGCUAUGUUGCUGUUGGUA